rnacentral:SRP_RNA from 1 species
GCCGGGCGUGGUGGCGGGCGCCUGUAAUCCCAGCUACUCGGGAGGCUGAGGCAGGAGAAUCGCUUGAAUCCGGGAAGCGGAGGUUGCAGUGAGCCAAGAUCGUGCCACUGCACUCCAGCCUGGGCGAAAGAGCGAGACUCUGUCUCAA